rnacentral:rRNA from 1 species
CAGUAGCCGCGGUAAUACGAGGGGAGCUAGCGUUGUUCGGAAUUACUGGGCGUAAAGCGCGCGUAGGCGGCUUUUUAAGUCAGAGGUGAAAGCCCGGGGCUCAACCCCGGAAUUGCCUUUGAAACUGGAAAGCUAGAAUCUUGGAGAGGUCAGUGGAAUUCCGAGUGUAGAGGUGAAAUUCGUAGAUAUUCGGAAGAACACCAGUGGCGAAGGCGACUGACUGGACAAGUAUUGGCGCUGAGGUGCGAAAGCGUGGGGAGCAAACAGGAUUAGAUACCCCAGUAGUCCCUGUCUCUUAUAC